rnacentral:rRNA from 1 species
AUUGAACGCUGGCGGCAUGCCUUACACAUGCAAGUCGAACGGCAGCACGGGAGCAAUCCUGGUGGCGAGUGGCGAACGGGUGAGUAAUAUAUCGGAACGUGCCCAGUAGUGGGGGAUAGCCCGGCGAAAGCCGGAUUAAUACCGCAUGAGACCUGAGGGUGAAAGCGGGGGAUCGCAAGACCUCGCGCUAUUGGAGCGGCCGAUAUCAGAUUAGCUAGUUGUGGGGUAAAGGCCUACCAAGGCAACGAUCUGUAGUUGGUCUGAGAGGACGACCAGCCACACUGGGACUGAGACACGGCCCAGACUCCUACGGGAGGCAGCAGUGGGGAAUUUUGGACAAUGGGCGCAAGCCUGAUCCAGCAAUGCCGCGUGCAGGAAGAAGGCC